GUCGAACGGUGUUUUCGGACACAGUGGCGGACGGGUGAGUAACGCGUGAGAAUCUGGCUUCAGGUCUGGGACAACCACUGGAAACGGUGGCUAAUACCGGAUGUGCCCGUAAUUGGGUGAAAGAUUAAUUGCCUGAAGAUGAGCUCGCGUCUGAUUAGCUAGUUGGAAGUGUAAUGGACUCCCAAGGCGACGAUCAGUAGCUGGUCUGAGAGGACGAUCAGCCACACUGGGACUGAGACACGGCCCAGACUCCUACGGGAGGCAGCAGUGGGGAAUUUUCCGCAAUGGGCGAAAGCCUGACGGAGCAAUACCGCGUGAGGGAGGAAGGCUCUUGGGUCGUAAACCUCUUUUCUCAGGGAAGAACACAAUGACGGUACCUGAGGAAUAAGCAUCGGCUAACUCCGUGCCAGCAGCCGCGGUAAUACGGAGGAUGCAAGCGUUAUCCGGAAUGAUUGGGCGUAAAGCGUCCGCAGGUGGCAAUGUAAGUCUGCUGUUAAAGAGUCUAGCUCAACUAGAUAAGAGCAGUGGAAACUACAUAGCUAGAGUACGUUCGGGGCAGAGGGAAUUCCUGGUGUAGCGGUGAAAUGCGUAGAGAUCAGGAAGAACACCAGUGGCGAAGGCGCUCUGCUAGGCCGUAACUGACACUGAGGGACGAAAGCUAGGGGAGCGAAUGGGAUUAGAUACCCCAGUAGUCCUAGCCGUAAACGAUGGAUACUAGGCGUG
rnacentral:rRNA from 2 species